UAAAUGUGACGGGUUAUGCCUGGCUCCCUGUAUGCCACCGACAACCCUUCCAGUCUUUUUGUUUGAUUGAUAGUUGUCGUUGGCGUACACGGAAUCAAGCAUACCUAUUUCUUUUA
rnacentral:pre_miRNA from 1 species